rfam:Lactobacillus mucosae LM1, complete genome.
AUGAGAACAGUGAUGAGAAGAGUAGAUCACAACGGGUCGUUAAAGAGAGUCCGAUCAGGUGAAAGCGGACCGACCAAUAAUGAUUGAAGAUGAGCUCGGAGUUCGUUCAGGGGUCAAUAGGCUACCUGAGCCGGUAAGCGACCGAUAUCUCGCCCAGUAUGUCCGUACUGAAUGAGACUGUCAUUGUGAGAUGGCAGUGAAAAUGGGUGGUACCACGAAACGCCUUCGUCCCAUGA